CCCUCUCUCCUUCUCUCUUUCUCUCUCACUCGCUCCUCAUCUCUAUGCACAUUUUUAUUCAUUACUGUGUAUGGGCAAGGGAGGCUAACAUGGACUGUUUGGGUCUUUUUAUCCUUCUUAUGGUUCAGUUUUUCCAGUGGACAACUGCCCCCGCUGCUGAGGAAGUUACCUGGAGCUACGCUGGCUUGGUGGGUCAGUCCGAGUGGUCGCAGUAUUUCCCUGACUGUGGUGGCACUUCUCAGUCUCCUGUUGAUGUGGUUACCACCUUGAUAAAAUAUGACCCCAGUUUGAUCCCCCUGACCCCGCUGGGCUACAGCCAGCACGGCAACAAGCCCUUCACGAUGUACAACAAUGGACACACAGCGGUCAUUGAGCUACCCGAGUGGAUGGGGGUGGGGGGGCUGCCCUGGCUCUUUACAGCUGUGCAAAUGCACCUCCACUGGGGCAGCGGCGGCCCGAGUCACGGGGGCAGUGAACACACCGUCAACGGACAGAGUGCAGAUGCAGAGCUCCAUGUGGUGCACUACAACUCUGAGCUCUACCCCAACAUGUCCACAGCGAUGACGCAGAGCGACGGCUUGGCUGUUUUAGGAAUUCUCAUUGAGACGGGGGAGGAGACCAACCCAGCAUUUAACAACAUCCUCAACUACCUGAGCCGCAUCAGACAUGCUGAUCAGAAGGUGUUCAUUCCAGCCUUCGACAUCCAGUCCCUGCUCCCGAAGGAUCUGGGACGCUACUACCGCUACAACGGCUCCCUGACGACGCCGCCCUGCUACCAGAGCGUGACCUGGACCCUGUUCAACGAGAGGGUUCACAUCUCAAAGGCCCAGCUGCUGAGGAUGGAGACAAUACUUUACUCCAGUAAAGCCAAAGACCAACGCAGGAUGCUGCUGCAGGACAACUACCGGGCGACGCAGCCGACCAACCACAGAGUCGCCUUCGCCUCCUUCAGUGCAGAUUCAGGGAAGGAGCUCUCCUCUGGUGAAGUCACAGCCAUAGUCAUCGGCGUGAUGUGUGGCUGCGUGGGUCUGGCAGUGGUCGUUCGCUUCAUCGUGAAGACGAUACGAUUUUUUACACUCCUCCACCGUGAAUCAGUCAUGGUAAACAGGUGGUUUACCUGAUCUCAUUACUGACAAGGAUGCGCAACUUUGCACUGACAGUGUGACUCGACAGAUAUUCCUGAAGCGCAGAUCUUUGAUCAAAACCAUGACACACAAAGGGUUAUUGAAGAAAACUGGGAAUAUGAUAGAACAUUUCUCUAUCAAAUUUCAAACACAAACUGAUGUUGAAAACCUGAUAUAACUUAGAGUCCGACCAACACAGGUGCAUGGCUGAUAGUACUGUCUGAUUUGCGCUUAUAACAGAUAUAUUGGUAUUGGAAUAUAUUUCAGCCAACAAGUAACAAUAAAUGCUAAAGAUGUUUGAGGAAAUACAAUAUGUCCAACAGAGACACUCUGACAUGUAUUUUGUAAAAAGGAUCCAUUUAGCAGAUAAUUGAGUAUUAAGUCCAUCCUCAUUGAUAUACAUUGAUAAUAAAUUGAUAUACAAUGUGGGUCAAGGAAUCUCUUCAAGCAUCAACAAGAAGAGUGUCGCCGUAAAGACUCACACAAUGACUCGAUGGGACUUCAUUCAUCAGCAGCUUACGUUUUUGGCAUCAACCUCAAACCAGUGUUGGUUGAACUCUAAAGAGAUUGAUUGUAAAUCAAUGUAUAAUCCUCUUUGUAAGGUUUCAACAUAAAAGUUACAAGCAACUCAAAGAUCAGCGCUAAGGAUAAUCUGAUUAUCUGACCUCUGCUGCAAUAACAUGGCUGUUCCUCAACAUUUUCUCUCAUAAUCACCACUGAUUAAUGAAAGUAUGCGGUGGGUCCCCAGGUCAGUGACUUAAACUCUCCAGGGGUUCCCAAAGUCCCUGUGUAUGUUCCAGUAUGUGUUACCUCAGAGUUUUAAUGUUAAGAAUCAAAACAUGAUUUUUAUUGUUGAAUAUGUUGAAUAUGUUGCAUAGAACUGAGUUAAUGUUUAAACUGAAGAUUGGGGAGAGUGAGAGAUUUAAUCUUCAAAUGAGACGACAAUGAACUGAUCACAACCCUCACCCCCCCUUUACGAGGAUCCAUGGAGCCUUCAGAGGGCCCUGCACCCCCCUUUGGGAACCACACUGGCUUUCAUAAUGUCAAUCAGCCGUUUGCGAUUACUUUAAAAUGUCACCAUUAAGAGCGGAGGAUGGCGAGAGCGUGAGUUUUGAACUCUUUGUACACGGCCUCUUUGAAAUGAUAAAUCAAAGAUGUUCUCUCUGUUUUGGUCAUGUGAUUCUGUCUUUUGAUCUGUGACAGCUCUACGUCUAGCUGGGACGUCCUACCCAGUAACCAGCCUGCUCCCAUGUCAAGGAUGAAGGAGCCAGAGAAAGAUAACGAGAAAAAACAAGACAUGGC